ACCAGGAUUGCCAAGUGGUUAAGGCGUUGGACUUAAGAUCCAAUGGUCCUAUGUCUGCGUGGGUUUGAGCCCCACUUCUGGUA